rnacentral:rRNA from 1 species
CCUACGGGAGGCAGCAGUGGGGAAUAUUGGGCAAUGGACGCAAGUCUGACCCAGCAACGCCGCGUGAAGGCAGAAGGCUUUCGGGUUGUAAACUUCUUUUAAGGGGGAAGAGCAGAAGACGGUACCCCUUGAAUAAGCCACGGCUAACUACGUGCCAGCAGCCGCGGUAAUACGUAGGUGUCAAGAGUUGUCCGGAGUUACUGGGUGUAAAGGGCGUGCAGCCGGAGAGACAAGUCAGAUGUGAAAUCCGCAGGCUCAACCUGCGAACUGCAUUUGAAACUGUUUCCCUUGAGUAUCGGAGAGGUCAUCGGAAUUCCUAGUGUAGCGGUGAAAUCCGUAGAUAUCUGGAGGAACAUCAGUGGCGAAGGCGACUAUCUGGCACAUAACUGACGCUGAGGAGCGAAAGCGUGGGUAGCAAACAGGAUUAGAUACCCGAGUAGUC